UACGUAGGGUGCAAGCGUUUGUCCGGAAUUAUUGGGCGUAAAGAGCUCGUAGGCGGUUUGUCGCGUCGGCUGUGAAAACCUAGGCUCAACCCUGGCUUGCAGCCGAUACGGCAAACUAGAAUUCGGUAGGGAGACUGGAAUUCCUGGUGUAGCGGUGAAUGCGCAGAUAUCAGGAGGAACACCGGUGGCGAAGGCGGUCUCCGGGCCGAUAUUGACGCUGAGGAGCGAAAGCGUGGGGAGCGAACAGG
rnacentral:rRNA from 1 species